rnacentral:lncRNA from 1 species
UGCAAAUAAGUGUCAGAAGUUUUACAUUUCAUCUCAUUUACAUUGGGUUGGAAAGCACAAAUAGGAGUUUGUUAUUUAAACUUAUGUACAGAGAAUGCUGUAUGAGAAAGUUUUAGAAUGGACUUAUUUUUCCUUUUUAGAAGUUAUUUUUAUUCUCCUUUACCUUUCUACCUAAAUAUAAAGUUAAAAGAUUUGUAAAAAUUUGACCUCAAUUAAAUGUCUACAUUCUCAGAUGUUACUAUAAAAAGUGUUUUGAAAAAUCUUACCUUGUGGUUGCAGUACAAAAUUACUGCUUGUGAAAAUGAUUGAUUCUUGGGAGUUAUUUCUGCCAUUUAGGAGUACACAUCCUUUUCCAAGUGCUGUGGGAAACAAAGUAGUGAGAAAAGAAGUUACACCUAAAGAGAAUAAAAUAUAUACUUAAUGACAGUAAUCAGCCUUUUGUUUGGAUAUACCAAAUAACAAGAUGUUCAAUUCCUGAAAAGCUUUAGCCAAAGUUGUUCAAUUACC